rnacentral:rRNA from 1 species
AAGUAGACCGCCUGGGGAGUACGGUCGCAAGAUUAAAACUCAAAGGAAUUGACGGGGACCCGCACAAGCGGUGGAUGAUGUGGAUUAAUUCGAUGCAACGCGAAAAACCUUACCUACCCUUGACAUGGUCGGAAGCCUGGAGAGAUCUGGGCGUGCUCGAAAGAGAGCCGACACACAGGUGCUGCAUGGCUGUCGUCAGCUCGUGUCGUGAGAUGUUGGGUUAAGUCCCGCAACGAGCGCAACCCUUGUCAUUAGUUGCUACGAAAGAGCACUCUAAUGAGACUGCCGGUGACAAACCG